CAACCACGACCCCAACCCGAGCUUUCGACGCCAUCUCCUUCUCCUCCACCUCUGCCCCCAUCUCCCCUGCCUUUCUCCUCUUCUCUGCCCCAAGCUGCCUUUCUCCUCCAUCUCCGCCCUCGUCUCCGCCCCCGAGCUGCCCCUAGGCCUUCCUGUUUCUCUCCUUCUCCUUGGUCGUCCGAGCUGCCCCUAGCCCUUCUUGUUUCUCUCCUUCUCCUCUGUCUCUGCUGGAGGGUGACCACCGCAGCAUCGCUUGCAGCUUCUCAGCGGGCGUCCUCAAGCAAAUCCUCAGCAGGGUGUCUUCCAGCAGGUCCUAAGCAGCGGCGUUCAGCAAGGCAGGGUGACCAUUGCAUUCCAGGACCAAGCAAAAGAGAAAAUUGGCAUCAUGACAGACCCGAGGCACAUCCACAAUGACAUGCACGGAGGUGGAUUCAGAUUCAAUCACAUACAGCUCAUGUUUUCAUGGUUUUCGUAACUUCUAAUACAUUUUUAUGGCAUUUCCAUUAAUUUCAUUUUCAACAUUUUAUUGGUUCAAAAAUAAAGGAAAAUGUUUUACCCUGCUUUCUGAAACACGCUGUAGUUGACAAGCCAAAGCCACGUCAGUCAGUUAACAUAUCAUGUGACAUGGAUGUGGAUAUAUAAUCAUGAUAUAAGCACACAGUAUACAUGGAUCAAAGCUCACCUGAUCUACCACUUAAAAUUAAAUUUCCAGCACACCAAAGUGUUUUUAGUUCAUGGGUCACUAGGUAACUAGAGAUUUUAAUUUUGUGGAGCCAGUGUUUUGAAUUAUGAACCACAAUAGCGAACUUGAUGACCAUUCUGCAAUAAGAUGGACAGUUGCAGAAAACAGCAGUAACAUCUAAAGAGAAAGACAAUGGGCUGUCAAAACAAUGAACAAAAGGUAUGAGAAUGAGGAACUUAAAAAACAUAGCAAGUUAAUGCACAUAUCUACACAACUCAAUCCACACAAAUAUAAACAACAAAAAUUUUCAUAAGAAACUCACUGCUCUUUGGCCCCCAAUCUCCCUAUCAUGUAGAUGAGGAUACUCAAAUUGGUUAUCAGCACAAGAAUAAAUAUACGAUAUCAUCAUGGUGCCUUCCGAUUGCUGCCUGUAACAUGGCAUAUAAUACUCUGGGUAGUCAUCCAAAUAAUCAUUCUUUUUUGUGUGGAAGGGAGGAAGAGAGCUGUUAUUCCAUCGCAAAGUUGCCAAGGUCACAUGGAGACAAGUGUGCAAAGUUUGACAGGAAGGGAAUUCCCUGUAUAGAAAUUCAACGGGGAAUUAGAUUUUGGUUUGGUUAAGUUUGAAAGGGUGUUGUUGUAAUUUUCUGUUACUACAGCAUUGCCCUAAACUCCAUGUUAAAAAGAGUCAGCAUUUUUUGCAUUUUUGUUUUGUUCAAAUAGUAGAGGUCCAGUGCUUGAAUGUAGGAAGGCCCUUAGUCUCUCUUGACCAUAUAAAUCCUUAUGUUUUGUAUGUUUUCUUCUUUUCUUGAGAGGGCAUGGCUCUUAGCACACAAGGAUACCAUCCAAGUUCCCUUGGGUGAUCAAUUGGCAAGGCAGUUGGUCCUUAAUUUUGAAAUUGUUACGUGUACUAGUAGAGUAACCAUGGGAAUUGAAUGAGUUGCAAAUCGAUUUGAUUCAUUGCCCAAUACAAGGUAUGUGUCAUAAACUACAUAUUUACUUUUUAUUAUUUUGUGAUGGUUUUAAAAUUUUCCUUAUUUGUUUUUUAUACUUUUAAUUUUGAAAAAUGUAUACAAUAAUAUAGUUUACUGAUUCAUAACCUGGUCAGUGAUUUGAAUUGGCGAAUUCACUGACAGGCUAGCUUUGUAGUUUGGUAGAUACAAUUCAAUUCUUGAUUUUAUUUUACAACAUUGAAUCAAAUAUCUGGUUCACACUCCUUAAAUGUUCGUGAUAUUGAAAUGAACUUUUUUCCUUUUCACUAUUAUUAUAUUUUUCAACGAGGCAUAUGGAGAGUACUUCAACAACAGGUUGCAUAUUAUCUAGCUGGAGGCUUCCAGUUGUUAAAACUCUUAAGAUUCCACCAGACUUAACCAGAAGUAUUCUCAGUUUUGGCCUUCACCGCGAAAGACAGAAUGCCUUCAAUUAGUUCAAUUAGACUUCUGUUUUCUUCCUCUUAUUGUAUACAAAAUUGGUUUCUUUGUCGCCUUCCUAGGCCAUGACAGGCUUUAAUGGCCACUAGCAUGGAUCAAGAAUUUGAAUUUCGAGCAAAAUGCAACAACAUUUGAAAUAGAUCUAGUUGGUGGUGCAUUGAAUGGUAAAUUGAAUCCACCAAAAGCUCGGCUCCUAGAAUGAGUUAACAUUGCCAUUGUGUGGGAGGGAAUAAACUUUGUUGUUCCAUAUUGCUGCAACAUUCUCCUCAACAUUUUGCCAAUAGGUGACUUGGGUUUAUCAUCUGGUAGCAGAUUCUUGAUGACUGCUCAAGUGGCUUAAUCGCAUCUAGCACAAACGUGCAAUCGAUGCGUCCUCUGUCAGGCCUUUGAUGAGAUUAGCAGCUUCAUGUUUUAACAUUGAAUGAAUGUCGCCGGUGUCCUUUCCCCCUAGAAUUUGGCAUCAAGGAAUCAUGAGUUCCUGUUGAUUUUGAAGGGUACAUCAACAACAGCUCUUGGCCACACAGUUCAUCUGAGUUUGACGAAUCUCUACAUUUCAAGUACUACAUGAGUAUGUGAUCAUAGCUGCUAUAGAAGAAUGCGUAACCCAUGGCCUAUACGCAAUGCCCAAGAACAAGAGAAAGAGUGAGAGAGGAAACAGACAACCUUGGUUGCUUACCAUUUGUCGACAUGAAGGCGGAGCCUUUUCUUCAGUGUUUUAUUGAAGAACAGAAGAGCAAGAAGAAAAAAAAAAGAAGAAAAUUGUAAUGUUGCCUACC